UAAAAUCAAAGAGUUGGUAGGGCUCUGGUCCUUUAUGGAGAAUCCACUCGUUUUUUUUUCCCCCUCAGCUUCUAACGGCAGCCUGCAUUCCUUGGCCCAUGGUCCGUUCCUGCAUUUUCAAAGCCAGCAAAAGACUGGUUAAGUCUUUCUCACAUUGCAUCACUCUGACUCUGCGUCUUCUGCCUUCCUCUUCAACAUUUAAAAUUCUCUUGUUAUAUUGGUCUCACUGGAUAAUGCAGAAAGAUUUUUUCCCAUCUCAAGGGAGGGAUAUGGGAUUUAUAGAGAAAGGCCAGGAAUGUGACUCUAUGGAGCCCCUCCCAUGGACAUUUGAAGUGAGAGAAAAGGCAAUUUCCCCUCUCCCAUUUCCACACCCAGAAAAUUCUGUGUCUAAGUUAUUACGUUAGCCUUAAUUUGACCACCUGUGUGUCAUAUUUUUCCUCUUAUUGACAAGUUUCUGACUGUAUAUUGUUAGUGCUCUGUAUAUCACUAAUGGUUGGGCUAAAUUCAGACUUUUUUUUAUCAUAUAAGUUUGAGGUAUACAACAUGACAUUUUGGUAUAUGUAUACAUAGUGAAAUGCUUACUACGUGUAAGCAAUUUUACAUAUCCAUCGCCUUCUAUAGUUACCUCUGUGCGUGGUAAGAGAACUUAAAAUCUACUCUUUAGCAAAUUUUCAGUACACAAUACACAAUAUGCAAUAAUACAAUACUAUUAACUAUGGUUUUCCUAUUGUACGUUAGAUCUCUAGACUUAUUUAUUCUACAUAAAUGCAAGUUUGUACCCUUUGACCUACAUCUAUACAUUUCUUUCCCACUGUUGUACUGUUUCUAUGUGUUUGACUUUUUCUCUUCUUUCUUUCAUUUUAUUUUUUAGAUUCCACAUAUAAGUAAGACUAUGCACAGCAAAGGAAGUAGUCAACAAAAUGAAAGGGAACCCUACAGAUUGGGAAAAAUAUAUGUGAACUAUGUACCUGAUAAGGGUAUAUAAAUAUAUGUUUAAUAUUCAAAAUAUAUAACAAACACAAUUCAAUAGUAAAAGAAAAAAAUCCAAUUUUAAAAUGGGAAAAGGAUCUGAAUUAACAUUGUUCCAAAGAAGACAUACAAAUGACAAACAGAUACAUGAAAAGGUGCUCAACAUCGCUAAUCAUCACUAAUAAUUAGGGAAAUAUAAAUCAAAACUACAAUGAGUUAUCAUUUAUACUUGUUAGCUAGCUAUUAGCAAAAAGUCCAUUGAUAAUAAGUGUUGGCAAGAGUGUUGAGAAAAGGGACUUUUGCACACUGUUGAUAGGAAUGUAAAUUGGUACAGCCAUUAUUGGAGACAAUACAGAGGUUUCUAAAAAAGUUAAAAAUAGAACAGCCAUAUGACCUAGCAUAUACGUAUAUGACCAAAGGAAAUAAAAUUAGUAACUUGAAGAGA